rfam:Tetrahymena thermophila SB210 genomic scaffold scf_8254607, whole genome shotgun sequence.
AUCUUGUCAAAGGUUUUGCUGCCUUGUUAAUAGCUAUCCAUUAUUUAUUGACUAACUGUUAAAACCUAAAGAACCUGUGCUCCUCCACAUUUAGUAUCCUAACUAUGGGUAUCUUAAUACUAUCAGAGCACUUCAUUUUUA